UUUUUUUCUUCAACUUGAGAU
rnacentral:piRNA from 1 species